GCUAAAAGAACUUACCGAUCCAUAGUUUUUAAGAUUGAAGAAAAGCUAAAGCAGGUUAUUGUGGAGAAGCUGGGUGAGCCAGCUCAAAGCUAUGAAGAUUUUACUGCAAGCAUCCCUGCUGAUGAGUGUCGAUAUGCUGUUUAUGAUUUUGAUUUCAUGACUGCAGAGAAUGUUCAAAAGAGCAGGAUUUUCUUCAUUGCAUGGUAAUGAUCCCCUCACCCCAACUGCAUUUAUUAUUUUCGGGCUUUGAACUGUUUUCUCAUCAUUUUUUGUGGUAUACAAGGUCCCCUGACACAUCAAGGGUGAGAAGCAAGAUGAUUUAUGCCAGCUCUAAGGACAGGUUUAAGAGAGAAUUGGAUGGUAUUCAGAUAGAGUUGCAGGCAACUGAUCCAACUGAAAUGGGUCUUGAUGUCAUUAGAAGCCGUGCCAGUUAAGUGUUUAUAGCCUGUGGCGUUGAACCUGACUGAAUUAUGAAAUCGGUUUGUUUGUUUGAGUUUUAUCCGAUAGCCCUCUUCUGGAAUCAAUCCAGUGAUUUUGAUUGUAUUUUUUUAUGAUCCAUCAUGUAAUGAACCUAUGCGAUGUGUGUUUCCUUAUAGCCAUACUUACAGUCUCUGUUGUACCAGUACUUGUUUUUUACAUUUCUGAAAAUGGAUGUUCCGACAAUUUCUCAUGUUUGCAUUAGAAGACUUGUUCUAAACAUUAAUGAAAUAUAGCGAUAAAAAACUUAAAGAGUUACUGGAUUAGUGAGAUUUAUAAACGAGUUUAAGAUUGUGAUUCAACUGCAGAUGGGAAUUCUUGGAAUUUUAUCUCUUUUUUUUGUAAUUUAUAUAGAGAUAGUUUUGUUAUUCCAAUUAGGGAAAUUGUUGCACGGUAUGUGGAUGCUAGGGUAUCAUUUGUCCCAGAUCAUGAGAGGGAGUCAUGCGUCUCCAAUUUAUUUAUUUACUAAUUUCUUGAAUUAAAAAUUGGUAAGAAUAGUUGAGAAAUAAUAAAAAAUGCCAUUCAAAAAAUUUGGUGGUUAUUUUCUUUUUAUUUAUAGUGAAAAACAAAUUUACUUCACUUUUAAGUGAAGGUAUAUUUUUUUGAAAAUGACCAAAGCUAAGUCAUCGAAUCAUUAGUCAGCUUGAAAAUUAAUUCUGUGAACGUAGAUAUUUACUAUUAUCAAGUAAAAAACAGAAAUUUAAAUUUAUUAAUUGCAAUAAAAGAAAAGUUGGAACGAAAUAAAAAGAAAAGAACUGAAGAAAUUUGGGUCCACCCGUCGGGUAAAAAACGACGUCGUUUUAAUAAAAAAAAUAGAAGUCAACGGGUUAUAACCGGGUCUUACCGGGUCAACCCGUCGAAUCACAGUGGGUUUUUUCUUUUUCUAUUUUUUUUUUAACCCUGCCCGGUUCCAUCCCCAGGUCGGUCAUGUCCCGGGUUAACUUGUCAAGUCGGGUCGAGUUUCAAAACUAUACCAGUUUGACCAUGUUUUGAAUUAAGAAUGCGAUAAUUUAAAGUAUUUUUUAUUUAUAAAUAUAUUAAAAUAAUAUAUAUAUAUAUAUAUAUAUAUUUAAUAUUAAUAUUAAUAUAUCAAAAAGUUCAUAAAUAAAAAAAUAAUUUAAAACUAAAAAAAUAAAAAUAUUCUAAAAAAUACAGUUAAACAACAAUACUAAAUACCACUGACAUAUCAAUUAAAAUUAAAUCUUAUUUUUUAAAAAUAUACUUUAUACGUCCGUGUCAUAAAUUUAGAAUAUUUUAUAAUUUCUUCUAACAAUGAUUGUAGUCUUCUUUUUUAAAAGUUUUUUUUAUCUUUUUUUACAAGAAAGCAACACAGCUGAAGGGGGCAUGAGCUGGCAUUUUAAAAAAGGAUAACAAGCGUCUAAUUGUCGUUGGAUACACGUUCUUUAUCCCUGUUGUCGAGCUGGAGCACAUCAUUGAUAUUUAUUUACAUCAGAGGAAUAUCAAUGGAGCCACCAGAAAUAUGUCAAAUUUAUUGAUUAAUUAUAGCUCAGUCCUUGUAGUUUAUAAAAACUAAUCAAUUACUCCUCGUACUUUUAGAAAUUAUACAUUUAAUUCUCAUGUUUUCUUUUAGACAUUCUUGAAGGGGAAAAAAAUGAACUGAUUUGGUAAAUGUUGAUAAUUAGAUUAUUUAAUUAUUUCUACUACUAUAGAGACCAAUUAACUAGUUUUAAUAAACUAUAGUUAUUAAGUUAUAAUGACUCUUAAAGCUAUGAAUAAAAUUUAAAUGAGUGAGUUAUAACCUUAUCCUUAUAUAUUUUUCAAACAAAUCAUUCAAUACAUGUAAUUUUUAAAAUAAUUAAUUAAUCAUUUCACCAUAUUUGAUUGUCAUGUCAGGGAUAAUAAUAGAAAAGUCGAUGUCAACAUAAGGCGAGCAUUAAGUUAUUCAAAUUCAGCUUCAAUAAAUUCAUUUUAGUUUUUUAGGUGAAAAACAUUCUCUCAACCAAAUUGUGGUUCGAAUUUUUAAUCGCUUGAAAAAAAUAGAAUGCAAACUUUUUUGUAUGAAUGCUAUGAUUAUUGGUAAUUUUUAUCAUCUUUCAUGUUUGUCUGAUAAAAAAAUGAAAAAAAAAAUAUAAUGAUAUCCCAAAAAAUCAAAGUAGUUUUAAAACAAGGUUUAUAUGUUAGUAAUUCGUUAAUAUUUUGGUUUUCACAAUAUGAUUCAUUCUUUCUAACUAAGAAGGUUGAUGAUUGAUGGUUGAUAUCUAAUUAAUACUUGUAAAAGAUCUCCAAUAAUAAAUUUAGAAACUCUCUAAUAAUUAAAUAAGUAUUUUAUGGAGAGAAAAAAUAAUGAUAUUUUUUAGAGAGAUUCUAAAAAUAAAUAUGUAGUUAAGAAUGGAAAUUGAGAACCUAGUUCAUUUAAAAUAAUUAUUUAAUUAAAUAAGUAUUUAUAAACUCUUCGAUACUUAAAUAAGUAUUUUCUUGAGAGAGAAAACAAUGAUAUUUUUAGAGAGAUUUUAAAAAUAAAUAUGCAGUCGAUAAUGAAGAUCAAGAACCUAAUUCCUUUAAGAAUCCAAUGAGUCUUUAUAGCCCAUGCUCACUGUCAUUUGGUGCUAAAACAUCUCUCAUGUGUCAAAAAUAAAAAAUAUUUCUGGCUUAUCAGGGAAAAAAUAUUUCUAACUCAUCAAAUAAGGGAUUUUUUGAUUUAUUAGAGGAAAAAUAUCUCUCUAAUUUGUUAAAAUCUCAUAUCCCAACAAAGAGUCUGAUAAGAUUGCCAAAGACAUUUGUACCUGAACUCAAUGCUUGACUGAGAUAAAGGGUAAUGAAUUUGGCAACUCACAAAACUUGUAUAUGUGUAGGCUUAAUUUUUGAUCGGGCCGAGGAUAUUGAGUUAUUAUCCUGCCUCUAAAUCAUUUAAAAAUAUAUUCAAAUAAAAAUAAAAUAUGCUGAUCUAUCAAAUUUAUUUCAAAGUUCCAAGUGGUAACAUCAAAUAUCUAUGGAUUCUAAACAUCAAAGUAAUAUGAUGGAUCUAUAAAUCAUAAUGAAAAUUUAAUUUAUUUAGAAACCAUUUCCAAAAAACAAAAAAAGAAGGUGAAAGACUAAAUAAAAGGUUAACUCAAUAUCAAGAUAAAAAAUAAAAAGAAAUAGGAUGUGAUUUUUUUUUUUGUGUAUAUUGAUAUUUAGAGUUUAUUUAGUAGUAUGGUUAUCCUGUAUUUUGUUUUAUUCAUGAUCUUGAAAGUAUCUUAUUAAUCAAAAUCUAUUAUAGUUUUACAUGAAUUCUAUUAAAAAUUCUAUUAUAAAACUUUAUUAUAGAAACAGCUUUUUUUUAAAUUUAAUUUUUUAAAUCACAAUGAUAGAAGUUACUACAACGCUCAAACAAUGAUGAUGAUUGUUGUAGGCUGGCGGUUGAGAUGAUGAAUAUACAUGUGUUAAUUUGUUGAUGAGCGAGGAAUUAAUCCUCUCAAAAAACCGUAAUUUAGAGAAGCAUGGGAAAUAUGCACGAUUUAAUUGGGCUUAUUUAAGUUUUGCAGGGCUUCUUAAGAACUCGUUUGGAAACGCGGUUGAAACCGCGUUCCCAUAAAAUUUAAAUUUUUUUUGUUAUAAUUUAAUAUAAUUUAUAUGUUUUGGAUCGUUUUGAUGUGCUGAUGUUAAAAAUGAUUUUUAAAAAAUAAAAAAACAUCAUUUGCAUACAUUUCGGCACGAAAAGUUAUUUGCAAAGCAACCGCUACUACACUGCCAAACACGCUCUAAAAGUCAGCUAUGCACAUGUAUAUUUCUAUUAUUAUUAUUAUAUUAUUAUAUACAAAAACAUAUCAGCAUAUAUGUUUUGGUUUUCUAUUGAAAUGAUCCACAAUUUUGGGCAAUUGAACCAAACUAAAACUAUUUUAGAUAAGUAAAAAAAUUCAAAAUUUCAUUCAAGAUAAAAAAACAAAUAAUUAGAUGUGUAAAACACAUGUUUUGAGCAAUUAAACCAAAAAAAAAACUAAAAAUAUUUUAGAUUAGUAAAAAAUCCAAAAUUUAAUUCAAGAAAAAAAAACAAAUAAUUAUUUCAUCUCAGAAAAUACAUAUAGGGAUUAGUUCAUCUCAGAAAAAGAAUAUAUAGGGAUUAGUUAAUUAUUUUUAAAAAAUUCAGCAACUAAAUUAUUUAUGUCUUGAGAAUACAAGAACUAAAUUAUAAUUUACCCAACUUAAAAUUCUGAUUCCAUCAACCGAGAGAGAAAAGAGAGUAGAGAGAGAGAGAGACGCAAAACAUAGAGAAGCAGCAGUCCUCCAUUUUCUCUCAAAAAGUAAAAGCCUGCGUUGAAUAGAAGAAAGCAAGACCCAACAAUCUCUCUGUCUCUAUAAAAUCUUGUUCUACCCUUGUCUUGCCUUUGUUAUUCUUGCCUCGACCGAUCCCUAUAAGAAGAAGCACAAUCAUGGUGAGUAGCCCUUUACUUGUUUCGAUCUCUAGUACUGCUAUCUGUUUUUAAGUGACGACUGAGAUGACCGUUGAUGCUCUAGAUCUGAGACUUGAUCUCUAAUUCGACGGCAGCGGCAGAUUUAAACGGCUUCGUCUUUUGUCCCUGUGCCUGCACCACUAUUCCGCUAGAUCUUACGCCACUAGUUGAUACUGUUAAUUUUAAUCAUUCAUGUCUCCGAUGCUCCAUUUCGUGUAUUUAUUUUUUCAUAAUGGUCCUAUCCGAACAGUAGUUAAACUCAGUGCUGUGUUUCUUUGAAUUUAUAGAUAGUGCGGCUUUUUGUCCGAUCUAGUCAUCUUGUUUUGUAAAUUAUUUUAGGUUACUUGUAUAAUCUCUGAUUAUUUUUUUUAUUCUCUAGAUGUCAGGAUUUAUGGUUCAGUUGAUCACCAAAUAAUCUUGAAAUGUGAUUUAAUAGACCAAAACUCAAAAAAAAAAUUAAAAAAUUAUUCAACGUGGUCCUUUAUCAUCCUGAAUUGUUCGAGUUUUUGAAGCUUUGAUGGACUAAUGUCAUGAAUCCGAAUGUUAUUUGUUCGGAUAUGUGAUCCAUGGUUUAUAAGCUGCGCCUGCUUAUGUGAUAUCUCCUCUACCAAGGCUUAUCUCGUCAAUAAGAAGGAAUUGAGGAAAUAAUAAUAGAGGGAGGAUCUCUGCUGUUAGGAACCUUGAGGAAGCUGUUGCCCGAGUGCCUUUUGUUUUCUUUGCAUUUCUGUCUCACCGCGUGUUAUUUAACUCUCUGCGUGUGCAGGCCAACGCAGCAUCUGGUAUGGCUGUGCAUGAUGACUGCAAGCUGAAGUUCUUGGAGCUGAAGGCGAAAAGAACUUACCGCUUCAUAGUUUAUAAGAUUGAGGAAAAGCAAAAGCAGGUUAUUGUGGAAAAGCUUGGCGAGCCUGCCCAAAGCUAUGAAGAUUUUACUGCAAGCCUCCCUGCUGAUGAGUGUCGCUAUGCUGUUUAUGAUUUUGAUUUUGUGACUGAAGAGAAUGUCCAGAAGAGCAGAAUUUUCUUCAUUGCAUGGUAAUGACAUUGAACAUUGUUUAUACGCUCACGCUCACGCUCACGCGCACGCUCACGCUAUCACAUAACCGUUUAUUAUUUUUGGGACUUCACUUGUAAGUUUUGCUCAUCAUUUUCUC
rnacentral:lncRNA from 1 species